rnacentral:rRNA from 1 species
UACGGGGGGGGCAAGCGUUGUUCGGAAUUACUGGGCGUAAAGCGCGCGUAGGCGGCUUUGCAAGUCGGGUGUGAAAUCCCCAGGCUUAACCUGGGAACUGCAUUCGAGACUGCAUUGCUAGAGUAUGGGAGAGGGAAGUGGAAUUUCCGGUGUAGCGGUGAAAUGCGUAGAUAUCGGAAGGAACGCCGGUGGCGAAAGCGGUCGACUGGACCCCUUCUGACGCUGAGGCGCGAAAGCCAGGGGAGCAAACGGG